rnacentral:rRNA from 1 species
CUCAACAACAGAUAUCUUUACUCUUGCAUUGAUGAACAAUAAAGUGAAAUGUGAUACUUGGUGUAAAGUGCAUAAUCCCGUGAACCAUUGAGUUUUGAAUGCAAGUUGUGCCCAAAGCCUCCUGGCUAAGGGCACGUCUGUCUGGGCAUCAUA